rnacentral:RNase_P_RNA from 1 species
GAGGAAAGUCCGGGCUCUAUUUAUGAAAAUAUAGUUGUAUAAUAUACAAUAUAGGAAACUAUGAGGAUCGUACCACAGAAAUAUACCGCCUUUUUGGUAAGGGUGCAAUGGUUCGGUAAGAGCGGACCAGAAAUGCUAUUAAGGCAUUUGCUAGGUAAACCCCGUAUUAGAGCAAAGUAAAUUAGUAUGUUGUAUUGCCUCUAUAAGUAUUUACUCUAUUUUUAAUUUGUCAUACUAAUUAAUAUAUAUACUGCAUAAAGUGAAAUUCUUACUUAAGAUUAAUAAUUACCCUUUUCAUAUAAUAAAAGUGUUUAUUAUUGAAAAGAACAAAACCCGGCUUAU